CCUACGGGGGGCAGCAGUGGGGAAUAUUGGACAAUGGGGGGAACCCUGAUCCAGCCAUGCCGCGUGUGUGAAGAAGGCCCUCGGGUUGUAAAGCACUUUCAGUGAGGAAGAACGCCUGGUGGUUAAUACCCAUCAGGAAAGACAUCACUCACAGAAGAAGCACCGGCUAACUCCGUGCCAGCAGCCGCGGUAAUACGGAGGGUGCGAGCGUUAAUCGGAAUUACUGGGCGUAAAGCGCGCGUAGGUGGCUUGAUAAGCCGGUUGUGAAAGCCCCGGGCUCAACCUGGGACCGGCAUCCGGAACUGUCAAGCUAGAGUGCAGGAGAGGAAGGUAGAAUUCCCGGUGUAGCGGUGAAAUGCGUAGAGAUCGGGAGGAAUACCAGUGGCGAAGGCGGCCUUCUGGACUGACACUGACACUGAGGUGCGAAAGCGUGGGUAGCAAACAGGAUUAGAUACCCUUGUAGUC
rnacentral:rRNA from 1 species